rnacentral:rRNA from 1 species
CUUGGCGACCAUAGCAUUGUGGACCCACCUGAUUCCAUGCCGAACUCAGAAGUGAAACACAAUAGCGCCGAUGGUAGUGUGG